rnacentral:rRNA from 1 species
CCCUUAGAUGUUCUGGGCCGCACGCGCGCUACACUGAUGCAUUCAACGAGUUUCUUUCUGGUCCGAGAGGAAUGGGUAACCUUUUGAAAGUGCAUCGUGAUAGGGAUAGACUAUUGCAAUUAUUGGUCUUCAACGAGGAAUUCCUAGUAGACGUAGUUCAUCAGACUGCAUCGAUUACGUCCCUGCCCUUUGUACACACCGCCCGUCGCUCCUACCGAUUGAAUGCUCAGGUGAGCCAUUCGGACUUUCAUCAUGCUGGUUUCCAGUUUUGAUGAAGGAAAGUCUUGCGAACCUUAUCAUUUAGAGGAAGGAGAAGUCGUAACA